UCACAAUAAACAUGUGAACUUAUGAGUGAAAGCUUUCACAGCUGUCUUAAGCUUUAUAACGGGACUUUUUUCGUGUUGUUUACAUGCAUCAUGCAUUCGCGCGUAAUAAUUUUGGUGUGCUUCGUGUUGCAAUUUGGUUAUCAAUAAAAGUGAAAUAACUUCAAAAUCAGCCAAAUAAAAUUUAUUGUUCUUGAAGACUUUCGAUCGAAAUGGCAGAGCGAAUGCGUAGACGUUUUAAAUUGUCCGAGUUGACCGAUGAACAAUUGCUUGACUUGUUCAAUGAUGUUGAGACGGACGAGAAACUCUUGAAUAACUCUAGUGAUGACGAUGAAGACAGCUUGGAUUUGGAAGAAUCAUUAACACGGCAUUGGAGGACGCCGAAACUAUUUCAUUUAUCGACAAUAACGCUGAUAAUGUCAAAGAUAAUGUACAGGAGCUGGAAAUUACCAAAAAUCCUGCAAAGAGACCUCGUUCACCACUGCCGAUAAAGGAAUAUUCAGUGUGUACAUCUGAGCCUUUUUCUGGUGGUUUCAAUUGUGCCGAUGUUGAAUCAAUAAACAAGGUGCCGACAAAGGUAACAUGGCGGCAGCAAUCGAUACAGGUGCAUGUAAACGAUAUAGCUUUUCGGGGAAUUCUUCACUCCCAGAUUGUAUAAAGGAACUUAAACACCGAUGCAGAUUUUCUGUUACUUCUUCGAUUCAGAGAUUAUGAAUAUGAUUGAUGAAUAAACCAUUCGGUCAGCAUUGACGAUAUCCAUCACUACA